rnacentral:lncRNA from 1 species
UUGGCUGUCAGUGGCUAACAUGUUCAGAAUAUUAUGACUUUUACAGAAAAUUCGAAAACCUGAACUUAUAGCGACUGUGUUAAUUUUCAUUUGGAGUUUAAAUAUAGAAACGGUCCUCAUCUCCUGUGGCUCCAGCAUCCUCCCGCGAACCGCCUCUCGUUUGUCCCCGUUUCCUUCGUUUGUAUUCGGGAAGAAGGAAGUUUACGUGUACUGUGUUGACGUGGCGAUUUCUGGAAGACAAACACUAAAUAUGUUGAGGUCGUUGUUUGUGGCAUUGGCCGUGUCAGCGGUUUUCGCCGGGGUGCCUUCUAAUGAAGAGACGAAAAGACUGAUGGAUCACCUAUCUGAUGUGGAACACUUCAAGAAUGAACACCACAAUAAGCAAUUCGACCACGACGCAUUCUUGGGGGAGGAUCAAGCUAAGACUUUUGAUCAGCUACCACCUGAAGAAAGUAAAAGAAGGCUAGGGUAAGUAUUUCAAAUAUUCUUUAA